GACGAACGCUGGCGGCGUGCUUAACACAUGCAAGUCGAACGGAAAGGCCCUGCUUUUGUGGGGUGCUCGAGUGGCGAACGGGUGAGUAACACGUGAGUAACCUGCCCUUGACUUUGGGAUAACUUCAGGAAACUGGGGCUAAUACCGGAUAGGAGCUCCUGCUGCAUGGUGGGGGUUGGAAAGUUUCGGCGGUUGGGGAUGGACUCGCGGCUUAUCAGCUUGUUGGUGGGGUAGUGGCUUACCAAGGCUUUGACGGGUAGCCGGCCUGAGAGGGUGACCGGCCACAUUGGGCCUGAGAUACGGACCAGACGGCAACGGGAGGCAGCAGUGGGGAAUAUUGCAGAAUGGGCGGAAGCCUGAUGCAGCAACGCCGCGUGCGGGAUGACGGCCUUCGGGUUGUAAACCGCUUUCGCCUGUGACGAAGCGUGAGUGACGGUAAUGGGUAAAGAAGCACCGGCUAACUACGUG
rnacentral:rRNA from 1 species